CAUGGCUGAAAAAGAAAAUUGACAAAGAUGAAAUUCUGGCAGAUUUUUAUGGAACAAAAUAUCUUUGAGCCCUUCACCCUUCUGUGUGCAGUCAAGUAUUGCAGCAAUCCCCCGUCCGCAGGUUAAAGUAGACCCUUGGUUUCUUUUAAUGUUUUUAUGCUUUAGUGAGACCCAGCACGGUGGGGCUGCCGGAGGCCCCGGACAAUGGACAAUUUACCAUUUCAUAGUCAUUCGCCAAAAGCCAAGGCCUGUUGUGGUUCUUAAGUGGAUAAAGGGGAGAGAGGAUCAGAUCAAGUCUCGGUACGUGAAUUUUCAGAAAUGCCCAACCAUUUUUGGGUGCUGGUCUCCUGAGCGAUGUCCUUGGAGAUGGCCAUUGCUCAGAACUGUCCCCAAAAAUUCAGACUUUUUAUGCUUUCUCAAGUUGACCACCCAAAAUCAUUCCUGAAACCCGGAAUGGAGCCGGGUCUUCCACUUCCCGCUCAGGACGGGCCGUGCUGGGAGUGCGGAGGAUGCGCGGGGAGACAGGAGUUCGCCCAGUGCUGCUGCCGGGGAGUGACAAGUCCCGCCUCAGCGGACAAUGACCAGCGCUGGGCUCCGCUAAUUUAGUUUCAGUGGAAAUACCGGAGCAGGCUCUUUCUCGCUUGGUUUACCCCAUAUGUCUGAAUCGCUGUAGUCUUACCUGGCACAUUCCCAGAACACUGGGCUUAUGUAAAUUAUUUAUUAGUCACUCUCACUGCCUUUAAUUGCAGCUAUAUUCUUCAUAACUGACAACAGCAACAUUUGAAGCUGCCUGGAACUGGUGCCGUUCCCAAAGGUUUUGAGGGCAAACGCUCCGAAGGGCAGCGUCCCAGCCCGACGCUGGAGACCCCUCUCCUGGUGUAUGACCCCCGUGCUGCUGCCUUUCCGGCCUCUAGAACAGAAAAUGUGAUGGAAUCCUGGAGGGAUGCCCCGGCUCCAGCUUCUGCUGGGCGGGUGGAAGAGCCCGAGCCUGUUCUGCCGCUCCAGGGUGUAAGCGCAGAGACACUCCUCAGCAGUUGUUAGGACGAGACCCGCCGGUGGACAAAUUCAGGGGAGAAGAACGCUGCAAUUCAAACAGCCGCUUGGUAAGAACUGGCGAGGGCUUGGAGCUGUACAAAUACACACACGUACACGUGUGCGCACACCCCGGAAAUCCGUCUGUAUUUGGCUGGAAGAUUUCAUUCAUCCAUUCACAAUCAUCUAACCACUGACAGUUUUAUAGCACAGGGCGAUGGCAUAGCAGAGGAGAUUAACAGUUGCCCCUUGCUGCAGCA